rnacentral:rRNA from 1 species
GGAUUAGGCAUGCAAGUCGUGCGAGAAAGUCUCCUUCGGGAGGCGAGUACAGCGGCGCACGGGUGAGUAACGCGUGGGUAAUCUGCCUUCGGAUCCGGGAUAACCUCGGGAAACUGGGGCUAAUACCGGGUAAGCCCACGAGGUCUUCGGGCCUCGCGGGAAAAGGUGGCCUCUCCUUGGAAGCUACCGUCCGAAGAUGAGCCCGCGUCCCAUUAGCUUGUUGGUGGGGUAACGGCCUACCAAGGCUCCGAUGGGUAGCUGGUCUGAGAGGACGAUCAGCCACACUGGAACUGAGACACGGUCCAGACUCCUACGGGAGGCAGCAGCUAGGAAUCUUGGGCAAUGGGCGCAAGCCUGACCCAGCCACGCCGCGUGAGGGAUGAAGGCCUUCGGGUCGUAAACCUCUGUCGGGAGGGAAGAAAGGUGUUCUUUCGAAUAGGGAGAGCACUUGACGGUACCUCCAAAGGAAGGACCGGCUAACUCCGUGCCAGCAGCCGCGGUAAUACGGAGGGUCCAAGCGUUGUUCGGAAUCACUGGCGUAAAGCGCGUGUAGGCGGCUUGGCAAGUCGGGUGUGAAAUCCCGGGGCUCAACCCCGGAACUGCACCCGAAACUGCCUCGCUAGAGUCCCGGAGAGGAUGGCGGAAUUUCCGGUGUAGAGGUGAAAUUCGUAGAUAUCGGAAGGAACACCAGUGGCGAAGGCGGCCAUCUGGACGGUGACUGACGCUGAGACGCGAAAGCGUGGGGAGCAAACAGGAUUAGAUACCCUGGUAGUCCACGCCGUAAACGUUGAGUGCUAGACGUCGGGGGUAUUGACCCCUCCGGUGUCGAAGCUAACGCAUUAAGCACUCCGCCUGGGGAGUACGGUCGCAAGACUAAAAUUCAAAGGAAUUGACGGGGGCCCGCACAAGCGG